UGUCUGUUAGUGAGUGUGUGUGUGUGUCUGUUAAACAGACACACACACACUCACUAACAGACACA